AAUGAACGCUGGCGGCAGGCCUAACACAUGCAAGUCGAACGGAUCCUUCGGGAUUAGUGGCGGACGGGUGAGUAACGCGUGGGAACGUGCCCUUUGGUUCGGAAUAGCCUCGGGAAACUGGGAGUAAUACCGGAUAAGCCCUUCGGGGGCAAGAUUUAUCGCCAAAGGAUCGGCCCGCGUUGGAUUAGGUAGUUGGUGGGGUAAUGGCCUACCAAGCCGACGAUCCAUAGCUGGUUUGAGAGGAUGAUCAGCCACACUGGGACUGAGACACGGCCCAGACUCCUACGGGAGGCAGCAGUGGGGAAUCUUAGACAAUGGGGGAAACCCUGAUCUAGCCAUGCCGCGUGAUCGAUGAAGGCCUUAGGGUUGUAAAGAUCUUUCAGUUGGGAAGAUAAUGACGGUACCAACAGAAGAAGCCCCGGCUAACUCCGUGCCAGCCGCCGCGGUAAAAC
rnacentral:rRNA from 1 species